rnacentral:rRNA from 1 species
UACGUAGGCAGCGAGCGUUGUUCGGAGUUACUGGGCGUAAAGAGUGCGUAGGCGGUUUCUAAGUUUGGUGUGAAAUCUCCCGGCUUAACUGGGAGGGUGCGCCGAAGACUGGAAGGCUUGAGUAUGGGAGAGGAAGCGGAAUUCCUGGUGUAGCGGUGAAAUGCGUAGAUAUCUGGAGGAACACCGGUGGCGAAGGCGGCAUCCUGGACCUGACGUGACGCUGAGGAGCGAAAGCCAGGGGAGCAACGGGA